rnacentral:rRNA from 1 species
GUAGGGAAUAUUGGACAAUGGGGGCAACCCUGGUCCAGCCAUGCCGCGUGAGUGAAGAAGGCCCUCGGGUUGUAAAGCUCUUUUGUCCGGAAAGAAAAGCAUUCGGUGAAUACCCGGAUGUUCUGACGGUACCGGAAGAAUAAGCACCGGCUAACUUCGUGCCAGCAGCCGCGGUAAUACGAAGGGUGCAAGCGUUACUCGGAAUUACUGGGCGUAAAGCGUGCGUAGGUGGUUGUUUAAGUCUGAUGUGAAAGCCCUGGGCUCAACCUGGGAAUGGCAUUGGAAACUGGGCAGCUAGAGUGCGGUAGAGGGUAGUGGAAUUCCCGGUGUAGCAGUGAAAUGCGUAGAGAUCGGGAGGAACAUCUGUGGCGAAGGCGACUGCCUGGACCAGCACUGACACUGAGGCACGAAAGCGUGGGGAGCAAACA